AGUAAGGUCAGCUAAAAAAGCUUUUGGGCCCAUACCCCAACCAUGAAGGUUUAAAUCCCUCCUUUACUA
rnacentral:tRNA from 1 species